rnacentral:rRNA from 1 species
UGGUGCCAGCAGCCGCGGUAAUUCCAGCUCCAAUAGCGUAUAUUAAAGUUGUUGCAGUUAAAAAGCUCGUAGUUGAAUUUCGGGAUGAUCAGGUUGGUCGUGCCAUUGGUAUGUACUAGCUUUGGUGGUUCCUACCUCUUGAAGAACCGUAAUGCCAUUAACUUGGUGUUGCGGGAAUCAGGACUGUUACUUUGAAAAAAUUAGAGUGUUUAAAGCAGGCAAACGCUUGAAUACAUUAGCAUGGAAUAAUGAAAUAGGACGUUUGAUCUUAUUUUGUUGGUUUCUAGGAUCGACGUAAUGAUUAAUAGGGAUAGUUGGGGGCAUUAGUAUUCAAUUGUCAGAGGUGAAAUUCUUGGAUUUAUUGAAGACUAACUACUGCGAAAGCAUUUGCCAAGGAUGUUUUCAUUAAUCAAGAACGAAAGUUAGGGGAUCGAAGACGAUCAGAUACCGUCGUAGUCUUAACCAUAAACUAUGCCGACUAGGGA